ACGGAAAGGCCCUGCUUUUGUGGGGUGCUCGAGUGGCGAACGGGUGAGUAACACGUGAGUAACCUGCCCUUGACUUUGGGAUAACUUCAGGAAACUGGGGCUAAUACCGGAUAGGAGCUCCUGCUGCAUGGUGGGGGUUGGAAAGUUUCGGCGGUUGGGGAUGGACUCGCGGCUUAUCAGCUUGUUGGUGGGGUAGUGGCUUACCAAGGCUUUGACGGGUAGCCGGCCUGAGAGGGUGACCGGCCACAUUGGGACUGAGAUACGGCCCAGACUCCUACGGGAGGCAGCAGUGGGGAAUAUUGCACAAUGGGCGGAAGCCUGAUGCAGCAACGCCGCGUGCGGGAUGACGGCCUUCGGGUUGUAAACCGCUUUCGCCUGUGACGAAGCGUGAGUGACGGUAAUGGGUAAAGAAGCACCGGCUAACUACGUGCCAGCAGCCGCGGUGAUACGUAGGGUGCGAGCGUUGUCCGGAUUUAUUGGGCGUAAAGGGCUCGUAGGUGGUUGAUCGCGUCGGAAGUGUAAUCUUGGGGCUUAACCCUGAGCGUGCUUUCGAUACGGGUUGACUUGAGGAAGGUAGGGGAGAAUGGAAUUCCUGGUGGAGCGGUGGAAUGCGCAGAUAUCAGGAGGAACACCAGUGGCGAAGGCGGUUCUCUGGGCCUUUCCUGACGCUGAGGAGCGAAAGCGUGGGGAGCGAACAGGCUUAGAUACCCUGGUAGUCCACGCUGUAAACGGUGGGUACUAGGUGUGGGGUCCAUUCCAC
rnacentral:rRNA from 1 species